rnacentral:rRNA from 1 species
AACACAUGCAAGUCGAACGGCAGCAUAAGUGAGGGUAACCUUACUUGAUGGCGAGUGGCGGACGGGUGAGUAAUAUGUAGGAAUCUACCUAGAGGAGCGGGAUAACUUGGGGAAACUCAAGCUAAUACCACAUAAUCCCUACGGGGGAAAGCAGGGGAUCUUCGGACCUUGCGCCUUAUGAUGAGCCUACAUCGGAUUAGCUAGUUGGUGGGGUAAAGGCCUACCAAGGCGACGAUCCGUAGCUGGUCUGAGAGGAUGAUCAGCCACACUGGAACUGAGACACGGUCCAGACUCCUACGGGAGGCAGCAGUGGGGAAUAUUGGACAAUGGGCGAAAGCCUGAUCCAGCCAUGCCGCGUGUGUGAAGAAGGCCUUCGGGUUGUAAAGCACUUUAAGCGAGGAGGAAUGGCUCUUGGUUAAUAACCUUGAGCAGUGACGUUACUCGCAGAAUAAGCACCGGCUAACUCUGUGCCAGCAGCCGCAGUAAAAC